GAUGAACGCUGGCGGCGUGCCUAAUACAUGCAAGUCGAGCGAACAGACGAGGAGCUUGCUCCUCUGACGUUAGCGGCGGACGGGUGAGUAACACGUGUAUAACCUACCUAUAAGACUGGGAUAACUUCGGGAAACCGGAGCUAAUACCGGAUAAUAUAUUGAACCGCAUGGUUCAAUAGUGAGAUACGGUUUUGCUGUCUCUUAUAGAUGGAUCCGCGCCGCAUGAGCUAGUUGGUAAGGUAACGGCUUACCAAGGGAACGAUGCGUAGACGACCUGAGAGGGUGAUAGGCCACACUGGAACUGAGACACGGUCCAGACUCCUACGGGAGGCAGCAGUAGGGAAUCUUACGCAAUGGGGGAAAGCCUGACGGAGCAACGCCGAGUGAGUGAUGAAGGUCUUCGGAUCGUAAAACCCUGUUAUUAGGGAAGAACAAAUGUGUAAGUAAAUAUGCACGUCUUGACGGUACCUAAUCAGAAAGCCACGGCUAACUACGUG
rnacentral:rRNA from 1 species